UCAGAAGCACAGCCUCUACCCUAAAGCAAUGAGAAGCUUCUGGAAGGUUGAGAUAAUGGAAUGAAU
rnacentral:pre_miRNA from 1 species